rnacentral:rRNA from 1 species
UCGCCUGUUUAUCAAAAACAUCGCUAAGCAAUAAAUUCUUAGUCGAAUCUGCCCAGUGAUAAUUUUAACGGCCGCAGUAUCCUGACUGUGCUAAGGUAGCAUAAUCAUUAGUUUUUUAAUUGAAAUACUUGUAUAAACGAUCUGAUGAGAAACCCACUGUUUCGAUAGUACAAAGAACUUAAAUAAGAAGUAAAAAUCCUUCUUUCUCCUAAGAGGACGACAAGACCCUAUAAAACUUUACCCUACCUAAAAUAAACCAAGAAUCAAUCACUUAUUCAAUAGGGUUAUGCUGGGGCGGCAAUUAUUAACUUUAACAAUUUAACUACCAACACAUUGACUGACUUUAAUAAACACUCCUAUGAAACAAAAACAAGUUACUUUAGGGAUAACAGCGUUAUAUACCUAGAGAGCCCUUAUCGACAGGAAUGAUUACGACCUCGAUGUUGAAUUGAGAUACCUUCUCAGGGCAGCUUCUGCAAACAGGAAGUCUGUUCGACUUUUAAUUUCUCACAUGAUCUGAGUUCAAACCGGA